rnacentral:piRNA from 1 species
UGACUUCCUUAGAGCUAAUUUCUUCCAGGA